rnacentral:tRNA from 1 species
UGGCUCAGUGGUUAAGAGCUUUUGGCUGCUAACCAAAAGAUCGGCAGUUCGAAUCCAUC